rnacentral:miRNA from 1 species
GACGUCGAAUAUCGACGUCAUAAACACCAAAGUUGAUCGUGUUUAUGACGUCGAAUAUCGACGUCAUAAACACCAAAUUGAUCGUGUUUAUGACGUCGAAUAUCGACGUCAUAAAUACCAAAGUUGUUCGUGUUUAUGACGUCGAAUAUCGACGUCAUAAACACCAAAGUUGAUCGUGUUUGACCUCGAAUAUCGACGUGAUAAACACCAAAGUUGAUCGUGUUUAUGACGUCGAAUAUCGACGUC